UACGUAGGGGGCAAGCGUUGUCCGGAUUUAUUGGGCGUAAAGAGCGUGUAGGCGGCCAUGUAGGUCCGUUGUGAAAACUCGAGGCUCAACCUCGAGACGCCGAUGGAAACCAUGUGGCUAGAGUCCGGAAGAGGAGAGUGGAAUUCCUGGUGUAGCGGUGAAAUGCGCAGAUAUCAGGAAGAACACCCGUGGCUAAGGCGGCUCUCUAGGCCUUACCUGACGCUGAGGAGCGAAAGCAUGGGGAGCAAACAGG
rnacentral:rRNA from 1 species